CUUAGUCUGUCUUGUUGGACAAACUGGAAGAAAUGAUUUAAGGACUUAGUCACAGAACAGAGAUUCAAAUCUCCAAAAUCCAACUGGCUGCGUCAGGGCAUAUAGUCUGAAACUCUGCACAGUUUCCUGUUUGAAGCUGCUUCCUGUUGGCUUCAGCUGUUUGGAGUUUCCAUUUUCUAAACUUCUACAUUCUGAACCUUAUUCAGCUCUGAACAGAUUAUGAAACACUGAAUGAUUUCAAGCUCACACUUUGUCUAAUAAACUUACACAUUUCAUUCUUUAUACAGAUUGAUAGACUGUGGUUUGUCAGGGAUCAGCUGUGAAUAUCUGGCAGCAGCUCUGAAGUCCAACCCCUCCCAUCUGAGAGAGCUGGACCUGAAAAGAAACAACCUGGGGGAUCCAGAUGUGAAGCAGCUGUCUGAUCUUCAGCAGAGUCCAGACUGCAGACUGGAGACUCUGAGGUCAGUAGAGUGAUGGAGUGAGUGGGUGGUGCUCUCAGCAGUAUUGUACUAAACAAAGUUAGUAUGAAACAAAGAUCCAGUGUUUCCUGUAAAGCUGCAGCUUCUCAGUGAAGCUGUGAGAGGAGAAUGGUGACAGGCUUCAGGAUUGGACACAAACACUGCCUGUUUCUGCCUUCAUGGUGACCAUAGUAACGGCUGACACACUCUGAUCAAACACUGUCAACAGCCAAUCAGCUCUCUGAACAAAGCAGCACGCAGACCAAUGACUGCAUUCAUUUCCAGGUUUAAAGCAGUGAAGAACACAGACUGUAGGUUGAAUAGCAGCAGCAGCUUGUGUGACUGACAGAGGAAUGAGAAGAAGUGCAGAUGACUGUCAGUGCUGCAGAGUGAACUGCUCUGAGAACAGCUCCACUGUCAGACACAAUGUAGAGUCCAGCAUCAUCCCUGUGUGUCCCUCUGGAUCUGACAGAGGAUCAUCAGUGUAUCUGGACUGCUCUGUCCUUCUACAGUCUCUGCACAGUCUGACUCUGGCUUCAGACCCUCCUGGAACAAACUCACCUGGAAAGGCUUUAAACACCUUUGAAUAAUAAACAUGUUUUUAUAAGACAAAUAUCAUGUUUUCAUGUAUGUGUGCAGUUUGAGCCUCGGUGGACGAAUCAGUGCUUAAUGUUUAAUGUGGAUACUAAUGAUCAAUAAAUGUGCUGAUUGGAAUCAAAGGAAUGACUCGGACUGAAUCUUUUCCUGCUUUUCUGUCAUGUGGAUCUGAUCCAGACCUCCAGCUUCUGCCCUCCACCUCACAUUAGUCACCCAGCACAGCAGUUUUCCCAUU
ensembl:lncRNA